rnacentral:lncRNA from 1 species
GGUCUUUCUCUCUGUAUUCAUUUAAUCCUUUCAAUAACUCUGUGAGGUCGGUUAACAAAAAAAAAACCCAAAGAGCAAUUUUCUUUUCCUUCUUCCUGAAUCAACACCGCCUCAAGCUUUGGCUUUACCUGUGUUCUCUGGCUGUGACAAGGAACCUUUUGUUGAAAUCCGGGGUGUUCAGGAGGUGGCUUCCUGCUAAACUGCCUUUAAUUGAUCAGAUGCCCAGCUCUCAGGUGUUCAGGUUCUGAUUCCUUCACUUUCUGGGCCAGCAGUUGCUACGGGAGAAGCUGAGGGUUCAAGCGUGUGAGAUGAUGACCAACGCCACUGGGGGAGGCUGCACCCUGCCCGCCGGACAUCAGCCAGGUGCUGGGGUCCCCACCUCUAGCACCUCAGCAUUCGACCCAGGUGUCUGGGUCAGACCAUUUGGAGAGCCAUCUCCCGGUGUCUCAGUCAGGUUUCUACGUCUGAUCCUAAAAUAGCCAAGUUUCCUGAAUGGAUGAUGGCCAAAGGAUUCCCCCACCCCGAACGUUACCAACGAGCUGAACGAGGCAGGAAAUACCGUCAGCCUUCUCCUUCUCUUUCUCAUGUACUUUCCUAUUGAUUUCACCUGGCUAUAUUUUCGGAGCACUGUAAGAUGAUCUGAAUCCUUUCUGGCACCGUCAGUGGCAACCAGGAAGUGGAGGGCCAGAACCAAGGGCGUGGUGGACCCAGGAGCGGUCAGGCAGGUGGAGCCUGAGCCCUGGCCACUGACCGGCUCCGGGGAGCACCCUGGCAGGGUCCCCACAUCUCCUUCCAGGGAUUCCAGGAGCAGCAAGUUGCCUUCCAGAAGCUUUGGUGGCUGCAGAUGGUGGUGGGGCUGAGUCAGAACAACAGGGCAGAUGACAGGGUGACCACUUGGGUGGCUAGUUCUUGAGAUCAUGUGACGCGCACCUAUGAGGAGUCACAGAAACAACUGGAAACGUGCCACAGGGAGGCGCUGAGCUGGUGGGGCUCAAAGCACUGCAAACUGAGCACUGAAGCCAACAGAACUCACUUUGCUCUCCCUGAGCACCCCGGCCUCCCUCCUCCCUCUUUCUCCAUGGGUUUGUCAGAUCAGCCUUCCUGAAGCUGUGGGGAAGGAAGCACAGAUAGAAGACGAGGUGGCCAGCCAGAGGUACAUUUACUGCUGGCUCGCCACGUGCCAGACACUUACUCUUCAAGUCUUCCUUUAGGGGGCUCGGCCACAUGGCCAAGUGGUUAAGUUCUUGCGCUCUGCUUUGGUGGCCUGGGGCUCCCUGGUUUGGACCCAGCACCGCUCCUCAAGCCAUGCUGUGGUGGCGUCCCACAUAGAAGAACUAGAAUGACCUACAACUAGGAUAUACAACUAUGUACUGGGGCUUUGGGAAGAAAAAUUUUAAAAAAGACCUCCUUUGAGGUGGGUUUGGUUAUUCCCAAAUCAUAGACAAGGACACAAAGGCACAGGAAGGUUGUUUAUUUGUCGAAGGUCACACAGCUAGCAAGUGGCAAAGCCAAGAUCUACACUCAGAUUAGACUCAUCCCCUCUUUACAUUCUGGGGAGAAAUAAUUCAUUCUUUGGGACCUAGUCAACGGUAGCUGUUUUUUGUUUUAUAAAGAUUGGCCCUGAGCUAACAUCUAUUGCUAAUCUUUUUUUCCCUUCUUCUUCUUCUCCCCAGGGCCCCCAGUACAUAGUUGUAUAUUCUAGUGGUAGGUCCUUCUGGUUGUGCUGUGUGGGAUGCCACCUCAGCAUGGCCUGAUGAGCAGCGCUAGGUCUGAACCAGGGAAACCCCGGGCCACUGAAGGGGUGUGCACGAGCUUAACCACUUGGCCAUGGGGCCAGCCCCAGGGGUAGGUGUUUGGUGCCAACACAAGAUGCCAGGCGACCACGACAUUUCCAUAAAACUCUUACUGUCAACAUGCUGGGCUCCUCUGGCCCCUUGCCAGAUGCUGCCGCCCCUCUUGAAGUGGUCUCUUCCCUCGGCACCUGGGAGGCCUCUGCCAAGAGACUCCCUCUCACUCUCGCUGAAACACCUCCUUGCAUUCCACCCCCUGGCUCCAGCCCCAGCAGAGCUGUUAUCAACCACGUCAAAUCAACAGCCCCAUCUCAGGUAAUAAAAUGACUCUGCGAAAGAUUAGUCCUUGCACCGGGGGUCAGCAAAGGGGCCAAAUCUAAGCCCUCAGCUCAAGUUUGCCAAAUCACUCAACCUCAUGCAGGACAUAUCUCUCAGCCUCUGGGUCUAAGUCCAGCGUAGGGGUGGGGGAGGAGGAGAAUGCCCCCGGGAUCUUGGCCUCCGUUGACGCAGCCCUCUGCAGGGUUAGGCAGCUGCAUGGGGCCCAGCUGCGUUCAGAGGCAUCGCUGGGGUCCUAGGAGUAUUUGCUGAAACGUGGACCUCAGACCUAGCACUGGAGAGCAAAUUCCUGUACACCAUCCCCAGCGGGGUCUCAGGAACCGUCAGGAACUAGAAGAGAGGAGUGCACGCUUCUGGGUGCUAAAGGUAGUUUGGGGCAGAACCAGAGAGAAGCUGAACGAGAAAAGAGAAACUAGAAGCUGGCAGACCCGAUGGACUGUCUUUCUGAAUCUUGCGAAGUCUGAAAAAUGACAAUACUGAGUUCUGCAAGCCAAUCCAUGCCACUUGCCCUGAGCUGCUUCUGCUGGGUGGCAGUGCCCUGGGGCCUCUGCGGCCAGUGUGGCCUGUCUCCUGGGAGCAAAGGGUACUCGUUCCUUAGGGCACAGAGCAGCAGAAGCUCCUGCACCAGCACUCAUCCCGCCAGCUGUGCUGGCUGCCCUGGGCCUCUGCAAACUCCUGAAAUCCCCAGCUUGGCUAGCACCUGUCUGCCCCCUGCUCGGUGCCUGCUCGGAGCCAGCAGCAGCACCAACUGUGACCAGGCAGGUGUAGCCACAUGUGCAUGUGUAAACCCUUCCAGAGCAGGGCUGGCUUUCUUGAUUUUGUAACAAACCUCGCUGACAAACCGCAGGAAAGUAUUCCUCCCAGAAUUCCUGAACUCCAGGCCUCUAUAUCCCACUGGCCAUCUCAAAGGUAACAUGCCCCAAAUUCAGCCCUAAAGCUUCCCCUUGAGCUUGUCUUGCCCCAGCCUUCCUGUCUCGGCCAACGCCAGAACCAUCCUUCCAGUUCCUCUGGCCAAAAACCUCGGAGUCAAAACCCACAUCCCGUCCAUGGAAAGCCCUGUUGACUCCAUCUUGAAGAUACAUGCGGAACCCAAUAGCUGGCAUCACCUCCCAACACCAGCCAUGGUCACCUCUCUCCUGGGUUCUUCUAACAGGCUCCUGAAUGGCCGCCUCGCUCCCACCCUCCCUCCUCCGCAGGCUGGGCUCACUCAGAAGCCACUGUUUUCUUUUUAAACAUAAGUCAGAUCACAUCUCUCGCAGCUAAAAACCCUCUGAGGUAAUUCGUUAUGCAACAGUUGAUAAUCUCACUUCCUCAUUGCCUCCAGUUUCGCUGCAAUGUCACCUAGCUUCUCAGAGAUACCUGCCUGAACUACCCAACUGAGGCUGGCGCUCCGGGCACUCCCCAGUCCCCUUCUGUGACUCCUGAAUAUUUUCCACGGCACGUACCGCCUUCUAAUACCCCUCUAAUUGACCUUUCUUUCCUCUUUCUCCUGCUCAUUAAAAUGUAAGUUCCCCGAGGGCACAGGAUGCUGUGUUUUGUUUGUUGGCACAUGUCCAGCACCCAAUAACUGUCUGCCGAGUGAAUAAAGGAACGCAUUCCUCGGCUUUGCCCUCUGUGUUCACUUCCUGAAUCCAAGCUGCCUCCACUUUUUUUAAAGCUUGCUCUGAUGCUAUUUUUCUAAGGAUUCAGUCUGGGCUGAUCUUUUUUCACUAGCACACAGGUUGGAAAAGGCCACUUGGUUUUAGACAGCUAAGAGGCCAUCCGGCCUCCCUCCUAAGAACAGGUCUGUUACAAAGACCAGCACCUGUGAGGCUGGUGGGGACGUCUUUCAUACUUGACCGAUGAUUGGUUUCCAAGGAGUUUAAUUUAGUCAAACGGGCUCCAAAAGACACAAACAAUCCAAGCAGCAGGUUUCCCAAGUGGAAGCUAAUCUGAUUGUCCUUGGUGCCAGGACAUUCGAGCCUGUCAUGUGUGGCCACCCCACAGUCAUGUGGCACCAGGGAGGCAGCUGGAUCAACAGACCCCUUGCAGGUCUGCACACGACACAGCCAGAGACUGAGUGUCAAGCAAGGGAGAAGGAAAGAAUGAGGAGGGGAGAGACAUGGAAACCCUUUUGUGCAAGAAGGAGUUCUUAGCAGGCCCGUGUAGAGGGGGCGAUUCUCCAGGGGGGCCCGCCUUCCUAGAAAGCCCGGUGCCCGCUCCUGUUAUGCAGUCACCCUGCUGGUUAUCUGCUUGUUAGGCAGGUGCACUUUGAGGCCCUCCCAGAAGGUGGCAUAUCCUGACACUCUGACCAGGAUAUCUCCUCCUGGACACAGAUUGCAGCAAUGUCCUUGGGAUAACAGCAUCUGUAUUGUUAUAACGAUUAAAAAGCCAUGUAAUAAAAAACCAUUUUCUGAGCUCAUGGUGUUGUGUGUCCUCUGGGUGACAAGUGUACCCAGAACGAACAAUAAACAGUACAUCUAGUUCUGGCCUUUGCUCCACAUUAACCAGCUGUGGGGUCAUUUCACGUCUUUGGCCUUCAGUUUCCUCAACGGAAAAAUGACUGUUUUAGCUCCGCUCCCCCCUUCUGUCUCCAACCUUCUCUGCGUCGCUGCAGACGCACAGUGAAGGCCCACAGGCUGUGGGCAAAGCAGCGCCCUGACCUCUGGCCUGGAAACUGGCACAGUUGGAUCCGUGUCCCUGGUCACGGGGCAGGUGACAAAUAGCACAGGAUUAGCAAACCCAUCCCGAAACUCUGGGUUCAAGGGCAGGGAAAGUAACCAGUUUAAUUCGGCAAGUC